rnacentral:misc_RNA from 1 species
CCGAGUUUCCAACUCACCAACCCACUGUGAACAUACCUACGUUGCUUCGGCGGAGGGCUACGGCCCGCCGCCGGGGACCUUAACCUCUAUACUAUACAAGUACAUGUAUCUCUGAGUAACCAAAAUAAAUCA